GACGAACGCUGGCGGCGUGCUUAACACAUGCAAGUCGAGCGGUAAGGCCCUUUCGGGGGUACACGAGCGGCGAACGGGUGAGUAACACGUGGGUGACCUGCCCUUAGCUCUGGGAUAAGCCUGGGAAACUGGGUCUAAUACCGGAUAUGACUCCAUGACGCAUGUUGUGGGGUGAAAGCCUUGUGCGGCUAGGGAUGGGCCCGCGGCCUAUCAGCUUGUUGGUGGGGUGAUGGCCACCAAGGCGACGACGGGUAGCCGGCCUGAGAGGGCGACCGGCCACACUGGGACUGAGACACGGCCCAGACUCCUACGGGAGGCAGCAGUGGGGAAUCUUGCGCAAUGGGCGAAAGCCUGACGCAGCGACGCCGCGUGAGGGAUGACGGCCUCGGUUGUAAC
rnacentral:rRNA from 1 species